rnacentral:tRNA from 1 species
GUCACGAUAGCUCAAGUGGUAGAGGAGCGGCGUAUGAAGCCGAAGGUCGUAGGUUCGAAUCCUGCUCGUGACA